GCAAUGGCCAAGUGGUAAGGCUUCAGAUUCUGAUUCUGACAUGCGUGGGUUCGAAUCCUACUUGCC
rnacentral:tRNA from 1 species